CACGCGAAAAUUUGGUACUGCUGGUGAGUGAAAAGCAAAGCAAGAAAAUGAUAUCUGCCCUACGGGAACGCAUAGGAAGCGCUGGAUUCGAGCAAAGGAACAUUGAAGAGAAGCUCCGAACAAUUUUCACUCCCGGCCAAAUAAAAAAGUUAAAGCGUGGCAAUAAGCUUAUGAGAUGGGCUGAAGAGGACAUAUCGCACUCAAUAACGUUGUACUCGACAAGCGCGAAGGUAUAUAGAUUGCUUCCUGCAGUGCGUACUCUUAAAUGUUGGGCUAAGAAAGUAAGCAUUAAUACCGGCAUAAUCGAGCCGGUCACACAAAUUUUAUCCGCUGAUGUUCAGCUCGAUGAGGUUCAGAAGUUAUGCAUCUUGAGCUUCGAUGAAAUGAAGAUUCGUAAAGUGUAUUGCUACGAUAUAUCUUCUGACACCACGUACGGACCAGUAGAUUACGUGGAAGUAGCUAUGCUAAGAGGUCUGAUGUCGAAAUGGAAACAGCCGGUAUGAUUUCGACUGCAGGAUGACAAAAGAAAUACUUUUCAGCAUCAUAAGCUCGGUGAAGACGUGUGGGUAUCAUGUAGCCGCUGUUGUAAGCGAUUUAGGCGGAACAAACCGAGCGCUAUUUAAUGACCUCGGUGUAAGCACCGAUACUCCAUGGUUUAUCUACGAUGAUAGGCGAAUAUUUGUGUCUGCGGAUUCACCACAUCACAUCUUCUACGUAACCACUUUUUGGAUAGUGGUUUUACGGUAAACGGCAAGGAGGUGAAGAAGGAUACAAUCGUCGAGUUGCUCUCGUGUACUUCCUCAGAGUUAUCAAUAACUCACAAAAUUAGCAGCAACCACCUUAGUGUUGUUGGGCCCCAGCGACAAAAGGUGAAAAUGGCAACAAAGCUUUUUUCGCACACCGUUGCGCAAGCGAUUACGCAUGCUUCCAGCCUAGGCUACCUCGGAGGUCACAAUUGGGAGGAGUGUCAUAAAGUUUUCAAAUUGGUAAAUGACUAGUUUGACAUCGUGAAAGUAAGAGUACCGUAUUCAGAUACUAAAAAACGUACUCAUGCGUAUGGAUUAGCCUAGGUUAUUCGAGACGGAAUCCUACAGCAAAUGACGCAACUCAUGACCGAAA